rnacentral:rRNA from 1 species
UACGUAGGGUGCAAGCGUUAAUCGGAAUUACUGGGCGUAAAGCGUGCGCAGGCGGGUGGGGAAGACAGAUGGGAAAUCCCCGGGCUUAACCUGGGAAUUGCAUUUGUGACUGCACGGCUAGAGUGUGUCAGAGGGGGGUAGAAUUCCACGUGUAGCAGUGAAAUGCGUAGAGAUGUGGAGGAAUACCGAUGGCGAAGGCAGCCCCCUGGGAUAACACUGACGCUCAUGCACGAAAGCGUGGGGAGCAAACAGG